UCUCCUAUAGUGUAAUGGUAGCACGACAGUUUUUGGAGCUGUUCGAUAUGGUUCGAGUCCAUAUAGGAGAA
rnacentral:tRNA from 1 species